GCCGGGAGCAGUGGCUCACGCCUGUAAUCCAAGUACUUUGGGAGGCUGAGGCAGGUGGAUCGCUUGAGGUCAGGAGUUCAAGACCAGCCUGGACAACAUGGUGAAACCCUGUCUCAACUAAAAAUACAAAAAUUAGCUGGGUGCGGUGGCGUGCACCUGUAAUCUCAGUUACUUGGGAGGCUGAGGCAGGAGAAUGACUUGAACCCAGGAGGAGGAGGAGGCUGCAUCACAGCACUCUAGCCUGGGCAACAGAGCGAGACUCUGUCUCG
rnacentral:sRNA from 1 species